rnacentral:rRNA from 1 species
CCUACGGGUGGCAGCAGUGGGGGAUAUUGCACAAUGGGGGGAACCCUGAUGCAGCGACGCCGCGUGGGUGAAGAAGCGCCUCGGCGCGUAAAGCUCUGUCAGCAGGGAAGAAAAUGACGGUACCUGAAGAAGAAGCCCCGGCUAACUACGUGCCAGCAGCCGCGGUAAUACGUAGGGGGCAAGCGUUAUCCGGAUUUACUGGGUGUAAAGGGGGCGCAGGCGGGGAUGCAAGCCAGGAGUGAAAGCCCGGGGCUCAACGCCGGGACUGCUGUUGGAACUGCGUGGCUGGAGUGCAGGAGGGGCAGGCGGAAUUCCUGGUGUAGCGGGGAAAUGCGUAGAUAUCAGGAGGAACACCAGUGGCGAAGGCGGCCUGCUGGAAUGCAACUGACGUUGAGGCGCGAAAGCGUGGGGAGCAAACAGGAUUAGAUACCCCAGUAGUC